GGUUUUAUAGUGUAGCGGUUAUCACAUCGGAUUCUGACUACUUCAGAAGUUUCCGGGAACCCCGGUUCGAUUCCGGGUAAGACCU